GACAAACGCUAGCGGCGUGUAUUAGGCAUGCAAGUCGCACGGUCACCCGCAAGGGUGGCAGUGGCGGACGGGUGAGUAACACGUGGGUAACCUGCCUCGCAGUGGGGAAUAACUCGCCGAAAGGCGAGCUAAUACCGCAUACCACUCUCGGUGAGAAUCCGAGCAGUAAAAGUAGCAAUGCGCUGUGAGAGGGGCCCGCGGCCGAUUAGCUUGUUGGUGGGGUAAUGGCUACCAAGGCGACGAUCGGUAGCUGGUCUGAGAGGAUGGUCAGCCACACGGGGACUGAGAUACGGCCCCGACUCCUACGGGAGGGCAGCAGCUAAGAAUCUUGCGCAAUGAGCGAAAGACUUGACGCAGCAACGCCGCGUGGAGGACGAAGGCCCGUCGGGUCGUAAACUCCUUUGCGAGGGAAGAAGAUCUGACGGUACCUCGCGAAUAAGCCACGGCUAACUACGUGCCA
rnacentral:rRNA from 1 species